AUGGAGUUUCUGGGAGGAUCAUUGGACGUGACGAGGAGCACUGGAAGCCCGAAGAUGAUGGACGGGAAGAGCGGCGGCGGGUCGUGGCGGCAGGCGCCGGCGCCGGUGAGGCAGCUGUUUUGGAGGGUGAGACGCGCCGUGCUGCGGCCGAAGCGCCGCACCGUAAGCUUCGGGUACGACCUCAAGAGCUACUCCCAAAACUUCGACGACGGCCUCAUCCCCGCCCACCGUCUCUAG
rnacentral:rRNA from 1 species